AAAACGACUCUCGGCAACGGAUAUCUCGGCUCUCGCAUCGAUGAAGAACGUAGCGAAAUGCGAUACUUGKKGUGAAUUGCAGAAUCCCGUGAACCAUCGAGUCUUUGAACGCAAGUUGCGCCCGAAGCCGUCAGGCCGAGGGCACGUCUGCCUGGGCGUCACGC
rnacentral:rRNA from 1 species